rnacentral:rRNA from 1 species
AUUGAACGCUGGCGGCAUGCCUAACACAUGCAAGUCGAACGGCAGCAUGCUCUGUAGCAAUACAGAGUGAUGGCGAGUGGCGGACGGGUGAGUAACGCGUAGGAAUCUGCCCUAAAGUGGGGGAUAACUCAGCGAAAGCUGAGCUAAUACCGCAUAAUCUCUUCGGAGUAAAGCAGGGGACCUUUGGGCCUUGCGCUUUGGGAUGAGCCUGCGUAGGAUUAGCUAGUUGGUAGGGUAAAGGCCUACCAAGGCAACGAUCUUUAGCUGGUCUGAGAGGACGACCAGCCACAUUGGGACUGAGACACGGCCCAAACUCCUACGGGAGGCAGCAGUGGGGAAUAUUGGACAAUGGGGGAAACCCUGAUCCAGCGAUGCCGCGUGUGUGAAGAAGGCCUGCGGGUUGUAAAGCACUUUCGGUGGGGAGGAAAAGCUCAAGGCUAAUAUCCUUGAGAAUUGACGUUACCCGCAUAAGAAGCACCGGCUAACUCUGUGCCAGCCGCCGCCGUAACAC